GACGAACGCUGGCGGCGUGCUUAACACAUGCCAGUCGAACGGAAAGGCCCUGCUUUUGUGGGGUGCUCGAGUGGCGAACGGGUGAGUAACACGUGAGUAACCUGCCCUUGACUUUGGGAUAACUUCAGGAAACUGGGGCUAAUACCGGAUAGGAGCUCCUGCUGCAUGGUGGGGGUUGGAAAGUUUCGGCGGUUGGGGAUGGACUCGCGGCUUAUCAGCUUGUUGGUGGGGUAGUGGCUUACCAAGGCUUUGACGGGUAGCCGGCCUGAGAGGGUGACCGGCCACAUUGGGACUGAGAUACGGACCAGACUCCUACGGGAGGCAGCAGUGGGGAAUAUGGCAGAAUGGGCGGAAGCCUGAUGCAGCAACGCCGCGUGCGUGAUGACGGCCUUCGGGUUGUAAACCGCUGUCGCCUGUGACGAAGCGGGAGUGACGGUAAUGGGUAAAGAAGCACCGGCUAACUACGUG
rnacentral:rRNA from 1 species